CUAGAAUCUCAGUGUAAGUUUCUUAUUUAAAUAUCGUGUAUCAUAGGAAUAUGUAUAUAUAUCAUUCAAAGAAGAGAAAACAAAGUUAAUACUAGUAAAAAUCAAUGAACUUUUUUGAGAGGAGUGUGUUUAUAUCUUUUUAAGACAUUUAUAAAACAGUGUUCAGAAAUGGUCAGAUUACUGCCAUGGGUUGAAGAAGUCUAAAAAACCACAGCAAUCUGCAUAAAGAUACUGUGAUACGUUCCGUCUGCCGCUGAAGAAGGUACAAGGAUCUAGGACUCACCUGAGGUUUUCAACAGGGAAAGGAUUACCUUCUUAACCAGCAGCACUCCAGCUGUUUUGGCCCAUAUUCCUCAAGAUCACAAACUAAACCAGGGGUGCUAUAGCCCAGACUCCCUACAAAAUCAACUUAUUUGAUGAGUUCAUCUGCAAUGGUGUUUUCUGGACAAAUAACAUGACUCUGAAGAUCAGUGACAUAUCUGCAAGGUACUCUAAGAAUUAUGUAUUACCUAUACAACAUGUACACAACCUCUAUGUACAAAUCGUUUUCUUCAGGACAACUGAGCAAGAGGACACAGUUAAAGACAACAUAAAUUUAGAAGCAAGACAAAGUGUUAACAAGAAAAAUUAUAAGGAAAGAAACAUUAUUUCUGAAGGUUUUCUGUUGCAUUUUAUGCAACAAUUUCUGAUAAAUAAACAAUAGGAGGUUAAUUUCAAAUUCUUUCACGAUGUGUUAAAUCUUCUCAAAUUUUCCUUAU
ensembl:lncRNA